rnacentral:lncRNA from 10 species
CGCGCCGGGAGGGGCCCUCGCGCCCCGCGCCCACAGGUGCACGCGCCCUUGGCGCCGCCUGCACCCCACGCGCCCCCUCCGCUCCCCGGCCGACGGCCCACCUGGGCUUCGUGAACAGUGGGAGGGAGAGUCUGGGGCCAGGAGAGGGACGGUGCAGGAUCAGGGAAAGGUGGAAAUCAGAAGUACAUGCAAUAGGAAUUAACUUGAAUAUGAUGCAUAAAGUUUGAAGCAAAGGAAUUGGCUCAGGAGAUUAUAAAGGCCAAGAAGUUCCAAUAUGUGCCCCCUGCAAGCCGAAGAACCAGGAAAUCCAGUGUAAUUCUUGCAUGUGAAGCUGAAGGGCUGAAGAGUGUCUGCUGGUAUUGAAGGCUCAAGAACCUGGAGCUCUGAAGUCAAGGGCAGGAGCAGAUGAUGGAUGUCCCAGCUUCAGAAGAGAGAGCAAAUUUGCCUUCCUCCACCUCUUUUAUGAUUCCUAUGCUCAGUUAAUUGAAUGAUGCCCACUCACAUUAGUGAGGAUGGGUUUUUGAUACCCAGUCUAUUGAUUCAAAUGCUAAUCUCUUCCAGAAAUACUCUCACAGACUCUCCCAGAAAUAAUAUUUUACCAGCUGUCUGGGCAUCCCUUAACCCAGGAUGGGCUAAGAGACAAGUGGACACAUAAAGUUAACCACCAUACCCUGUAAAUAUGGUAUGAGAAGGGAUCGAGUCAUAUUUCAUAUCAAGAUUAUUUUCCAAUGCAUAGAUGCCUUGGAAUAAUACUUCUUAUAAAAUAAUGAGUAACAUUUUCUAGCACAAGUUCCAAACUGUGUACCAUGGAACCCUAGCUCGGUCAUAUGUUGCUCGGUAUUGCAUGCAUACCCGAAAAGAAUUCUGUAAUCAAGUAACUUUGAGAAAUAAGAGGUUAAACAAAAUUAAACAAAUACCUUCACUUUAAAAUGCAUACAAUUCUUUAAGAUGAUAAUCUGCAUUUUGAAUUUUAAAGAGGGUAGGUAGCUUCAGUAUGUAGCAUCACUCCCUCUCCCUAUUUCUUUUUUCUUUUUUUUUUUUUUGAGACAUAGUCUCUCUCUUUUCCCCAGGCAUGAUCUCUGCUCACUGCAACCUCUGCC